rnacentral:rRNA from 1 species
GACAGAGGGUGCGAACGUUGUUCGGAAUUACUGGGCGUAAAGCGCACGUAGGCGGCUUUGUAAGUUAGAGGUGAAAGCCCAGGGCUUAACCCUGGAAUUGCCUUUAAGACUGCAUCGCUAGAAUCGUAGAGAGGUGAGUGGAAUUCCGAGUGUAGAGGUGAAAUUCGUAGAUAUUCGGAAGAACACCAGUGGCGAAGGCGACUCACUGGACACGUAUUGACGCUGAGGUGCGAAAGCGUGGGGAGCAAACAGG